rnacentral:ncRNA from 2 species
GGGUGACGAUGUACAAUAUGUUCAAAUUGCACCGAGAACCUGUGAGGACACCAUAACACAGACCUGCACUGAACCU